rnacentral:rRNA from 1 species
AUUGAACGCUGGCGGCAGGCCUAACACAUGCAAGUCGAGCGGAGCGGCGGACGGGUGAGUAAUGCCUAGGAAUCUGCCUGGUAGUGGGGGAUAACGUCCGGAAACGGGCGCUAAUACCGCAUACUAUCAGAUGAGCCUAGGUCGGAUUAGCUAGUUGGUGGGGUAACGGCUCACCUAGGAGACGAUCCCUAGCUGGUCUGAGAGGAUGCACAGACACACUGGAACUGAGACACGGUCCAGAGUCCUACGGGAGGCAGCAGUGGGGAAUAUUGCACAAUGGGCGCAAGCCUGAUGCAGCCAUGCCGCGUGUAUGAAGAAGGUCUUCGGGUUGUAAAGUACUUUCAGCUGGGAGUCGUUACCCACAGAAGAAGCACCGGCUAACUCCGUGCCAGCAGCCGCGGUAAUAC